rnacentral:rRNA from 1 species
AGAGCUUGAUCCUGGCUCAGGACGAACGCUGGCGGCGUGCCUAAUACAUGCAAGUCGAGCGGAUGAAUCGAAAGCUUGCUUUUGAUUCGUUAGCGGCGGACGGGUGAGUAACACGUGGGCAACCUGCCCUGUAGACGGGGAUAACACCGAGAAAUCGGUGCUAAUACCGGAUAACACGAAAUGUCACAUGACGUUUCGUUGAAAGACGGCGCAAGCUGUCGCUACAGGAUGGGCCCGCGGCGCAUUAGCUAGUUGGUGAGGUAACGGCUCACCAAGGCGACGAUGCGUAGCCGACCUGAGAGGGUGAUCGGCCACACUGGGACUGAGACACGGCCCAGACUCCUACGGGAGGCAGCAGUAGGGAAUCUUCCGCAAUGGACGAAAGUCUGACGGAGCAACGCCGCGUGAGCGAAGAAGGCCUUCGGGUCGUAAAGCUCUGUUGUUAGGGAAGAACAAGUAACGCAGUAACUGGCGUUACCGUGACGGUACCUAACGAGAAAGCCACGGCUAACUACGUGCCAGCAGCCGCGGUAAUACGUAGGUGGCAAGCGUUGUCCGGAAUUAUUGGGCGUAAAGCGCGCGCAGGCGGUUCCUUAAGUCUGAUGUGAAAGCC